rnacentral:misc_RNA from 1 species
AGGUGUCCGCUGCGAAUGGGAUGCCCAGUGCCUAUGCCAUGCACUCCCCCCCGCCCACCGAUGGCAUGGUGGGUGCAUGGCAUAGGCACUACCCCCCGGUGUCGGGUAGGGAUGUCGGUCCGACGGUCUCCGACCGUCCCUCCGACCUCCGACCCCGGCGAACACGGUCAGGUGGGCUAGUAGGGCUGCGUUGCUAUUUUUCGAGAGGAGAGGGACGGUACAUCUCGGGUUUCGAUUUUUCCAACGUAUUCGAGGGCAUUCGUGACCAUGGCUUCGGCUUUGGGACGAGCGAGCGAACGGUGAAUACCGCGGUGGGUCAAGAUCUGAGUUUUAACCUCUCGGGGGAGCGCAGCACUGUCUCUACUAUCUCGGCUGGCCGUGGGGGYGUCGGAAAAUUUYUAAAACUCGGUUAGGUGGGCUAGUAGGGCUGCGUUGCUAUUUUUCGAGAGGAGAGGGACGGUACAUCUCGGGUUUCGAUUUUUCCAACGUAUUCCAGGGCAUUCGUGACCAUGGCUUCGGCUUUGGGACGAGCGAGCGAACGGAGAAUACCGCGGUGGGUCAAGAUCUGAGUUUCGAUUUUUCCAACGUAUUCCAGGGCAUUCGUGACCAUGGCUUCGGCUUUGGGACGAGCGAGCGAACGGAGAAUACCGCGGUGGGUCAAGAUCUGAGUUUUAACCUCUCGGGGGAGCGCAGCACUGUCUCUACUUUCUCGUCUGUCCGAUGCCCCGUCAAAAUUUUUUAAAAAUUGGCCCCGUCGGAAAGAGAUGAUUAUUCGUUAUGCUCCAUAUCAAAACAUCCCGAAAAAAAUGCGGAAGAACUAGCAUGCUUCGGCUUGUGCUAACUUGAUGCAUCAAAAGGUUUGUUGCGGUGGGUUGGGCGUAACGGAGAAUCGUCGCUYUCUUAAAAUGUUUUCMAAAAUGUCCCUUACAGGUCUUCGUCCCUCGGAUUAGAUGGUUAWUCGUUAUGCUCCAUAUCAAAACAUCCCGAAAAAAAUGCGGAAGAACUAGCAUGCUUCGGCUUGUGCUAACUUGAUGCAUCAAAAGGUUUGUUGCGGUGGGUUGGGCGUAACGGAGAAUCGUCGGUUUCUUAAAAUGUUUUCCAAAUGUCCCUUACAGGUCUUCGUCCCUCGGAUUGUGUGUUUCUUCACGUGAAGCGGUGCUGGUGUGGUCUUGCUCGAUGUUUCCGCAUGCUCAGCGGUUCUAGUAACCGUUGGGUUGUGGUUCGUUUGGUUGGGUCAUCCUCAGUUGUACGCAACUCAUGUGUGAGUGGUGGUCGGAUGGCAUGGGUCUGCAAGCUCCUUGCUCAGCGCAACGAAUUGUAAGCUCUCCAUCCUUUUCAUAGUCUUCCCCGAGCAUGGUCAUUUGCCUUGUGGGUAAGAUCGGGUAUCCUGUGUUUUUUACCGACCGAACGGAAUUCGUUUGUUUUCAUUUCCUCAUUCGCCCGGUUCCCUUAGGGGUGCUGGGUGGACGAUGGGCUGACCUCGUGUUCCAGGUACAUCUCGCAUCUUUGUGUGGUUACCAUGGCCCAUGGGGUUAUGCUUGUUCUCUCGGACGCGGACCGUUAGUUGUGGGCGAGGGGUUACGACCUCCAUUCGUCCAAGCUACUAUGCAUUUGUCAAUCGACACGAACGACCGCCGCGCUCGUCUUGGCUCUUUACGGUCGAAUGGCCGUACAGUGUCCAUGCGAGUGUCGGUGUCGUGAAGGAAUGC